UGGGGAAUUUUGGACAAUGGGGGAAACCCUGAUCCAGCCAUCCCGCGUGUGCGAUGAAGGCCUUCGGGUUGUAAAGCACUUUUGGCAGGAAAGAAACGUCGCGGGUUAAUACCCCGCGGAACUGACGGUACCUGCAGAAUAAGCACCGGCUAACUACGUGCCAGCAGCCGCGGUAAUACGUAGGGUGCAAGCGUUAAUCGGAAUUACUGGGCGUAAAGCGUGCGCAGGCGGUUCGGAAAGAAAGAUGUGAAAUCCCAGAGCUUAACUUUGGAAACUGCAUUUUUUAAACUACCGGGCUAGAGUGUGUCAGAGGGAGGUGGAAUUCCGCGUGUAGCAGUGAAAUGCGUAGAUAUGCGGAGGAACACCGAUGGCGAAGGCAGCCUCCUGGGAUAACACUGACGCUCAUGCACGAAAGCGUGGGGAGCAAAACAGGAUUAGAUACCCUGGUAGUCCACGCCCUAAAACGAUGUCAACUAGCUGUUGGGGUCUUCGGACCUUGGUAGCGCAGCUAACGCGUGAAGUUGACCGCCUGGGGAGUACGGUCGCAAGAUUAAAAACUCAAAGGAAUUGACGGGGUCAUAGCUGUUUCCU
rnacentral:rRNA from 1 species